ACCUAAAGAUGGGAUAGAAAAAGGUAAAAAAGAAAAAAAAAUUAGAUUCUAUUUCAGAAUUAAAAUCCCAAAGGAGUGAGCCUAAUAGUAAAAAAAUGAGAAUAAAAACAUAUCAGGUCAGUCAUAUCGAACCUUACUGGAGGAGGGAAUCCGUUGUACUAUUUCGUGCCAAACUGAUGGUCUAUGUCUUUAUAUCAGUUCGUGACGCAUCAGAUUUCAGAUUCUGAAUGAAUGAAUCAAGACAUCUAGGGGAGAAAUAACUAACUCCGCAGAAUUUUUAUGGGCAUGUCAGCUGCCCCGUCAGCUGCUCCAUUUCGCGUGGUUUCGGACUGAGGAUGGAUGCCAAAACGAACGUCUCUCUUCUCGAAAUUUUACCAUCGAUUCCCUGUGUUUUGAGCUGCAUCUUGUAAAUUCAAUCAAUGCAGAGUUGUUCAAGGAAGAUCAUGUCGUGGGUUUGCUAUCACGUUUUUCAUCUCCGUUCUAAUGUACCAAAAGUGAUACGUAAAGAAAGUAGUUCGUUAAAAUCUUUUUCUCUAUCUAAAUCUCUAGAUUCUUUGAAAUGUCAUCAGGUGAUGUUAGAAUUUAUUGUUAAUAGUUAAAUUUUUAAAUUGUGCUUUCAGGUCUUUGGGAUGUACCUGAUGUACUGUGGUGGAUGCAAAUUCAUUGAGUGACUUGGCUCAAUCCAGGACUUGGUUUUUUCAAUAGUGGUUUACAGUUUUAAUUUGCAGAGAUCGUGGAGGCACCUGAUGUUUUGCAUUGGCUUUGGAGUCACUCGGUGACAGAAGAGAAUGCCACUAAUGUUAUGUUGUCAGUGUAAAUAAAACAUAUCCAGUCUCA